ACGGAAGGCAGCAGUGGGGAAUAUUGCACAAUGGGGGAAACCCUGAUGCAGCGACGCCGCGUGAACGAUGAAGUAUUUCGGUAUGUAAAGUUCUAUCAGCAGGGAAGAUAAUGACGGUACCUGACUAAGAAGCACCGGCUAAAUACGUGCCAGCAGCCGCGGUAAUACGUAUGGUGCAAGCGUUAUCCGGAUUUACUGGGUGUAAAGGGUGCGUAGGUGGCAUGGCAAGUCUGAAGUGAAAUGCGGGGGCUUAACCCCUGAACUGCUUUGGAAACUGUCAAGCUUGAGUACAGGAGAGGAAAGCGGAAUUCCUAGUGUAGCGGUGAAAUGCGUAGAUAUUAGGAGGAACACCAGUGGCGAAGGCGGCUUUCUGGACUGUAACUGACACUGAGGCACGAAAGCGUGGGGAGCAAACAGGAUUAGAUACCCUGGUA
rnacentral:rRNA from 1 species